GAGGGAGAGGGAGAGGGAGAGGGAGAGGGAGAGGGAGAGGGAGAGGCAUGGAAUGGCAAGGCAAGUCCAGGCCAGGCCACGGAGGGCAGGCCAGAGCAGGGCAGGCCAGGUGAGACGAGGAGAGACCAGGCCAGGGCAGAGCAGGCUAGACAAGGCGAGGCAAGGCAAGGCAACGCAAGGUCAGGCCAGUACACGAACGACCGGGAGAGGCCAGGUGACACGAAGACAGGCAAGGACAGGACAGAACAGGCCAGGCCAGGCCAGGCCAGGCAAAACUAGGCCAGGAAAGGCCUGGCCAGACAAAGUAAGGCCAUGCCCAGACAGGCCAGGCAAGGCAAGGCCAAGACAGGCAACGGCAGGCCAGGCAAGGCAAGGCAAGGCAAGUCCAAGCAAGGAUAGGCCAGACUAGGACAGGCAAUGCCAGGCAAGGCAGGGCAAGGCAAGGUAAGGCCAGGCCAGGCCAGGCAAGGUCAGGCCAGG
ensembl:lncRNA